UUUCACCCCCCACCCAGCCUGCCCAGUGUUCAGACUACCUGUUCCUAACGGCUACAGCUGAACAGUAGUCUGCACAUUGGUUAGGCCAGGCUGGGAUGCACGCA
rnacentral:pre_miRNA from 1 species